AGUCUUCGUCUAGACUGCAGUAUCAACGUGACUUAUAACCAUUUAACGGCGUGGAAAAAAUAUCAUAUAUCUCCUUCGUAAUGUUUUUGAUAUGUGUAAAACUGUAGGAUUUUUUUAAAAUUCGUAUAUAAUGAUCUGAGGAUUUCAUUUCAAGGAUCGAUUGGGAUUUUGUGAGAGAAAACACGGAAACCGGCGCCAUGACAGGCCGUGGCGCGCGAGGGAGGGCCAGAGGGCGCCACCUCCGAGAAGAACAAGAGAACAUCGCAGUGCGUAGACCGGGCCAGGAAAAUCUAGAGAACCAGUUCGCUAACCUACGAGUGAGCGACAGCGACAGAGACAGCACUUAUGAUGGAAGAGGAGGAAGAGGAGGAGGAGACAGAGGAGGAGGAGAAAGAGGAGGAAGAGGUGGUGGAGGAUGG